AGGAGCAACAGCCCCAGUGGCGGGGCCAGCUCUGCAGCCCUGGAGUCAGCCCCCGCAGUAGCUCCGGAGCUCUCCGUCUGCAUGGCCUGGAGGCUCCGGGGCGGG
rnacentral:pre_miRNA from 1 species